AUUGAACGCUGGCGGCAUGCCUUACACAUGCAAGUCGAACGGUAACAGGUCUUCGGAUGCUGACGAGUGGCGAACGGGUGAGUAAUACAUCGGAACGUGCCUAGUAGUGGGGGAUAACUACUCGAAAGAGUGGCUAAUACCGCAUGAGAUCUACGGAUGAAAGCAGGGGAUCGCAAGACCUUGUGCUACUAGAGCGGCCGAUGGCAGAUUAGGUAGUUGGUGGGAUAAAAGCUUACCAAGCCGACGAUCUGUAGCUGGUCUGAGAGGACGAUCAGCCACACUGGGACUGCGACACGGCCCAGACUCCUACGGGAGGCAGCAGUGGGGAAUUUUCGACAAUGGGCGCAAGCCUGAUCCAGCAAUGCCGCGUGCAGGAUGAAGGCCUUCGGGUUGUAAACUGCUUUUGUACGGAACGAAAAGCCCUGGGUUAAUACCCUGGGGUCAUGACGGUACCGUAAGAAUAAGCACCGGCUAACUACGUGCCAGCAGCCGCCGUAA
rnacentral:rRNA from 1 species